GAUGAACGCUGGCGGCGUGCCUAAUACAUGCAAGUCGAGCGAACAGACGAGGAGCUUGCUCCUCUGACGUUAGCGGCGGACGGGUGAGUAACACGUGGAUAACCUACCUAUAAGACUGGGAUAACUUCGGGAAACCGGAGCUAAUACCGGAUAAUAUAUUGAACCGCAUGGUUCAAUAGUGAAAGACGGUUUUGCUGUCACUUAUAGAUGGAUCCGCGCCGCAUUAGCUAGUUGGUAAGGUAACGGCUUACCAAGGCAACGAUGCGUAGCCGACCUGAGAGGUUGUUCGCCCACCUUGAAACGAGACCCCGUUCCAGACCCCUCCGGAGGCCGGCGUUGGGAAUCUUCCCGCAAGGGCCAAAGGCUGACCGAGGCAACCCCCGGUGGUUAAGAAGGUUUUUCGGUUCUAAAACCCCGUUUUUUGGGAAGAACAAAUGUGUAAGUAACUAUGCACGUCUUGACGGUACCUAAUCAGAAAGCCACGGCUAACUACGU
rnacentral:rRNA from 1 species